UGGGGAAUAUUGCACAAUGGGGGAAACCCUGAUGCAGCGACGCCGCGUGAGUGAAGAAGUAUUUCGGUAUGUAAAGCUCUAUCAGCAGGGAAGAAGAAAUGACGGUACCUGACUAAGAAGCCCCGGCUAACUACGUGCCAGCAGCCGCGGUAAUACGUAGGGGGCAAGCGUUAUCCGGAUUUACUGGGUGUAAAGGGAGCGUAGACGGCAAUGCAAGUCUGAAGUGAAAGGCCGGGGCUCAACCCCGGGACUGCUUUGGAAACUGUGUAGCUGGAGUACAGGAGAGGUAAGUGGAAUUCCUAGUGUAGCGGUGAAAUGCGUAGAUAUUAGGAGGAACACCAGUGGCGAAGGCGGCUUACUGGACUGUAACUGACGUUGAGGCUCGAAAGCGUGGGGAGCAAACAGGA
rnacentral:rRNA from 1 species